GCCCGCUCAAGAACUACGAAAGGAAUUGACGGGGGCCCGCACAAGCGGUGGAGUAUGUGGUUUAAUUCGAUGCAACGCGAAGAACCUUACCUGGUCUUGACAUCCCGGAGACCCUUAGGAAACUAGGGGGUGCUUCCAUCUGGAAGAAUCUGGAGACAGGUGCUGCAUGGCUGUCGUCAGCUCGUGUCGUGAGAUGUUGGGUUAAGUCCCGCAACGAGCGCAACCCUUGCCUUUAGUUGCCAGCAGUUCGGCUGGGCACUCUAAAGGGACUGCCGGUGUUAAACCGGAGGAAGGUGGGGAUGACGUCAAGUCCUCAUGGCCCUUAUGACCAGGGCUACACACGUACUACAAUGGCCGAUACAAAGGGCAGCGACACUGCGAGGUGAAGCCAAUCCCGUAAAAUCGGUCUCAGUCCGGAUUGGAGUCUGCAACUCGACUCCAUGAAGUUGGAAUCGCUAGUAAUCGUGGAUCAGCAUGCCACGGUGAAUACGUUCCCGGGCCUU
rnacentral:rRNA from 1 species